UACGUAGGGUCCGAGCGUUGUCCGGAAUUAUUGGGCGUAAAGGGCUCGUAGGCGGUUUGUCGCGUCGGGAGUGAAAACCGGGUGCUUAACACCUGGCUUGCUUUCGAUACGGGCAGACUAGAGGUAUGCAGGGGAGAACGGAAUUCCUGGUGUAGCGGUGAAAUGCGCAGAUAUCAGGAGGAACACCGGUGGCGAAGGCGGUUCUCUGGGCAUGUCCUGACGCUGAGGAGCGAAAGCAUGGGGAGCGAACAGG
rnacentral:rRNA from 1 species